rnacentral:rRNA from 1 species
AGAGUUUGAUCAUGGCUCAGAACGAACGUUAGCGGCGNNCUAAUACAUGCAAGUCGUGCGAGAAAGGGCUUCGGCCCCGGUAAAGCGGCGACGGGUGAGUAACACGUAGGUCAUCUCCCCUCGAGUGGUGGAUAACCCUCCGAAAGGAGGGCUAAUACAGCAUAAGACCACGACCUCGCUGAGGUUGCGGUCAAAGCAGGCCUCUAUACAUAAGCUUGCGCUCAAGGAUGAGCCUGCGGCCCAUCAGCUAGUUGGUAGGGUAACGGCCUACCAAGGCAAAGACGGGUAGCUGGUCUGAGAGGAUGAACAGCCACACUGGAACUGAGACACGGUCCAGACUCCUACGGGAGGCAGCAGUAGGGAAUCUUGCGCAAUGGGCGAAAGCCUGACGCAGCGACGCCGCGUGAGCGAUGAAGGCCCUCGGGUUGUAAAGCUCUGUGGGGAGGGAAGAAUAAGGGCGAACUAAUAUUUCGUUCGACGACGGUACCUCCUUAGCAAGCACCGGCUAACUCUGUGCCAGCAGCCGCGGUAAGACAGAGGGUGCAAACGUUGUUCGGAAUUACUGGGCGUAAAGCGCGUGUAGGCGGCUAUGCAAGUCGGGCGUGAAAUCCCACGGCUCAACCGUGGAAGUGCACCCGAACUGCGUAGCUAGAGUCCUGGAGAGGAAGGUGGAAUGCUUGGUGUAGAGGUGAAAUUCGUAGAUAUCAAGCGGAACACCGGUGGCGAAGGCGGCCUUCUGGACAGUGACUGACGCUGAGCGCGAAAGCGUGGGGAGCAAACAGGAUUAGAUACCCUAGUAGUCC